rnacentral:rRNA from 1 species
UACGUAGGGUGCGAGCGUUAAUCGGAAUUACUGGGCGUAAAGCGUGCGCAGGCUGCUUCGCAAGUCAGGCGUGAAAUCCCCGGGCUUAACCUGGGAAUGGCGUCUGAAACUACGGAGCUAGAGUGUGGCAGAGGGAGGUAGAAUUCCACGUGUAGCAGUGAAAUGCGUAGAGAUGUGGAGGAAUACCGAUGGCGAAGGCAGCCCCCUGGGAUAACACUGACGCUCAUGUACGAAAGCGUGGGUAGCAAACAGG